AUAUUGGGCAAAAAAUCUUAAAUGAACAAGCUUUCAUACUUAUUAUUGAAGAGAGGUUAGAUUUUCAUUCGUGCUUUCCUUGAAUAUCAUUUGUGGUACUUCUUGAAUUAACUUAAGAAAGAUUCCAUCUACACUUGAGUUGAAAACUAUCCUUGGAAUCACAUUCGAUGUGCUCUCAUCAUAAUUUGCUCUGAAAUUAUCCUAAAUGGCUCUGAUCUAUGCUCAUUAAUCUUAUUCUAACAUUAUUGCCUUGAGCAUUCUUAUCUUUGUGCUUAAUGUUUCACUAUCUUUUUGAUGUUGUCAAAAAGGGGGAGAAAUAUCUGAGUAUAUGCUCAUAAUGCUUUAUGUGUUGAUUAUGUUAAGAU
rnacentral:lncRNA from 1 species